rnacentral:lncRNA from 1 species
CACAAUCAGCUUUCUGCCAAUUAUGGUUCCAAGUUUGCACCUUCCACUGGCAACAACUCUUCAUCGACAAAAACAAAAUAGGGGUUUAACCCAAAGCCACUCCAUUUUUUUUUGUCCCAAGAUCUUUGAAGUUUGGAAAACAAGGUCAAUAUGGAAACGGAUCAUAUGAUAUUAGACAGCAUAUUUCUGUCUUCUACUAUCACCAUCUUCUUGUAUGAUUCUCAGUGGAAUAUUUUCGUCACUGUUCUGUUGGUGUAUUUGGUUUUGAACGGCCCUUACAGCUGCUACUCUUGCUGCAGUGGCUGCUCUGUUGGCUGCUGCAACAGCUUUGUUUACUUUAUCCUCAACCUUUGAGGCAGUAGCUGCUCUCUCAGCAGCAAGUCUUGCUUCCUGAUAGGUAUAACACCAGAUCAAACAGUUUAGUNUCUUACACUUCAAAAACUCCUAUCCCAGCUGACAAAAACUCCAAUCUGAACUCAAACCAGUUAUCCUAAAUUUCAAAAACUCCGAUCCGAACUCAUAAUUUGUGGGUCAAAUUCGUGUCCGAUCUGAUCUCAACACUUGGUCUCGUUAUACACGACUGCCAAAACUUGCUUGCUGAGUUGAAGACUUAUCUGUGUUUUUUGUUGUCAAGCGAUCAACUUAUGCAGUGGCUCAUAGUUUUGCUAGGGCCUCUAAAUUAUGGAAAAUGCUUGGUAUGUACAAAUUUUCUGUACAUAAUUAUGUGCACCUAGCACUACUCCUAAAUUAUAUCCUGGUCGUCGCUUCAGUACGGAGUCCGUUUCAACUGAGUUACUAUCUGGUUUUAUAACUGGAUCUGAAGUCAAAUGAAUGAGCUUUUACUUUGAAAAAUAAUAGUAUAGCUUAAGAAAUACCAAAGGAAAAGAGCGAGUACAACUACAUAAAAAAUUUGAAGCUAGAAAAAAUGGCAAUCUAUAUAUGACUUAUGGCUCAUAUGAAGGCUCUUCACUCUAACCGAAUUCCUGACCAGUGACUACCCGGCUAAAACCUAGAGAAGCUUCUGUUGCCAAAUGCCAGAUAGAGACACAAGGAAUUCCCUAUGCAACACUUGGCUGGGUUGUCUAUAAACUACAAACUUCAGAUAUGAGAUAUAUGUAAAAAAAGACACGAAUACCCUGCAAGUAAGUUGGAAUACCCUGCAAGUAAGUUGGAAGGCGUAACUGCCUUCAUCUUUUGCACUUGUAUCUUAAUCUGCUGUAGAACGAGCGGUACUACUAAAAAAGAAAAUGCAGGCUACUCCAUAAAAUGGAUGCAUAUAUUAGGCAACUAGUAAAAUGGAGGCAAAAGAUGGCUUCAUUUAGACAUAAUAAAUAUACAUAUCUAAGGUUGCUCUUUUUUUUAUCUUCUUUUCAUUUCCUGGUGGUACGAGUAAUACCAUUACAAUUACACAAAUACAUAUACAUACACAACAUUCAGGAGAAAGGAUAAAUAUACAAUACCAUGCCUAUUCCAAAGCACUUCACUCAUCAAACUUCACCACCCUUGCGGAUAUUAUCUAAGCCGGAAAAUGAAGGAACACCAUCUUGCUCCACAAUCAGCUUUCUGCCAAUUAUGGUUCCAAGUUUGCACCUUCCACUGGCAACAACUCUUCAUCGACAAAAACAAAAUAGGGGUUUAACCCAAAGCCACUCCAUUUUUUUUUGUCCCAAGAUCUUUGAAGUUUGGAAAAUAAGGUCAAUAUGGAAACGGAUCAUAUGAUAUUAGACAGCAUAUUUCUGUCUUCUACUAUCACCAUCUUCUUGUAUGAUUCUCAGUGGAAUAUUUUCGUCACUGUUCUGUUGGUGUAUUUGGUUUUGAACGGCCCUUACAGCUGCUACUCUUG